UACAUCAGAUUUCCAACGUAAGCACGUUGAGCGCGGUAGCCGCUACGCAGCCUCGUAGUGCGUAGCUCCAGCUAGAAGUGGGAAUGUCUGCUAGUUGAAUGAUCAUCGGGUUGUUUGAGGCGGCAGGGAGCUUCAACGUUAUGGCAGUGCAAACACAGCAAAAGAAUCUGGAAGGAUAUGUUGGCUUUGCAAGCCUCCCCAACCAAGUGUACAGGAAGUCUGUCAAGAGGGGCUUUGAGUUCACCCUGAUGGUCGUGGGUGAGUCAGGGUUGGGCAAAUCCACGUUGAUCAACUCACUGUUCCUAACAGACCUGUAUUCAGGAGAGUAUCCUGGACCUUCACAUCGAAUCAAAAAGACUGUACAGGUGGAGCAGUCCAAAGUUUUAAUAAAGGAAGGCGGCGUCCAGCUGCUGCUCACAAUAGUCGACACCCCGGGGUUCGGAGAUGCCGUCGACAACAGCAACUGCUGGCAGCCAAUCAUCGACCACAUAGACAGCAAGUUUGAAGACUACCUGAACUCAGAAUCCCGGGUGAACAGACGACAGAUGCCUGACAGCCGAAUCCACUGUUGCCUGUACUUCAUUGCCCCCUCGGGACAUGGACUGAAGCCAUUGGAUAUUGAGUUCAUGAAACGGUUGCAUGAGAAAGUCAAUGUCAUCCCGCUGAUCGCCAAAGCAGACACCCUCACCCCAGAGGAAUGCCAACAGUUCAAGAAACAGAUCAUGCGGGAAAUCCAAGAGCAUAAAAUCAAGAUCUAUGAGUUCCCCGAGACAGAUGACGAAGAAGAGAACAGGCUGGUGAAGAAGAUAAAGGACAAGUUGCCGCUGGCUGUAGUAGGAAGCAACACCAUCAUCGAGGUGAACAGCAAGAGGGUCAGAGGGAGACAAUACCCCUGGGGGGUUGCAGAAGUUGAAAACAGUGACCACUGCGACUUCACCAUCCUCAGGGAUAUGCUCAUCAGAACUCACAUGCAGGAUCUGAAGGACGUGACAAACAACGUCCACUACGAAAACUACCGCAGCAGGAAGCUGGCUGCUGUCACCUACAACGGAGUGGACAACAACAGGGCUAAAGGUCAACUGUCCACCAAACAUGACACAGGUGAAGGAAUGAGUCCCCUGGCCCAGAUGGAGGAGGAGAGGCGAGAGCAUGUGACUAAGAUGAAGAAGAUGGAGAUGGAGAUGGAGCAGGUGUUUGAGAUGAAAGUCAAGGAAAAAGUGCAGAAGCUCAAAGACUCUGAAGCAGAGCUUCAGCGGCGUCAUGAGCAAAUGAAGAAGAACCUGGAGGCUCAGCACAGGGAGCUGGAGGAGAAGAGACGCGUGUUCGAGGAGGAGAGAGCAAACUGGGAGGUCCAGCAGCGCCUGGAGCAGCAGAAACUGGAGGCCUCCAGUUUAUCCCGUGAGCCAACACGGUGUUCCAGGGUGUGGCCGUUGCCGUGCACUAGCACUUCUAGGAGCCAUAGGUGAGAGUUGAGAGAGUAGUGAGGACCAGUGCCAGUAGUCCAUCCUGGAGGAUGAGGCUGACUUCUGAAACAAAGGACUCUGGAGAAAAACAAAAAGAAAGGCAAGAUCUUUUAAAAGACAGUCGGCAGGACCACCCCAACUCGAGUUAUUUUUGUUUGCCAAUGUUGCCGGUCAGGACACCAGUGUGUGGCACUGACAUCACCCACCUCCUCCUCCUCCUGCUCCUGCUCCUCCUCCUCCUCCUCUUUCUCCUUCUCAUUCUCCCCCUUUCUACCCCCCAUUCACCCCUCCUUGUCUCCUGUCCCUGCUCUGUCUGCCAGCACAGCUGUGCUCCUGCUCCCAGCCGCUAGAGGGGGUACUGGGGGUAUUAUGGGUGUGUGAGGAGGUGGAAGGGGGUCUGAAUGUACGGUCAGAUCCACCGCCACAGAGCCUCCCCCCCCCACGCUGCCUCGGGACUCAUCAUCAAAGCAUAAAAAAAAUAAAAAACAUUUCAGAACGGCCAAACCCAUAUUCUUAUUUUAAUUAUUAUUAUUAUUAUUAUUGAUGUUAUUAUUAUUAUUAUUAUUAUUGUUGUUGUUAUAACUGAAUACUGUCCCCGCCCCUAUUUGCUGCUCUCUUUCUUUUUUCACCCCAAGGUUGCUUUUAAAUGACUGAUGUGUACAGUUUUAUGGAGAGCAAAGACAAAAAAAAAAUCCCAUGAAUCAUGUCUGACUGUUGUACAAUCAAGUUCUGGUGAAUUCUAUUUGUUUACAGGAAAAAUGAAAGUAACCGUAUAUGAACAUUAACCUGAUCUUCCUUCGUGUAUUAAAGUAAGAAGAGGACAAGGCAUUAACUAAUCCUUUUUGUUUUGAGUGUAUCUGAUAAACCUUUAACCCUCCUGUCAGUGCGACUGAAAUAGGUGUCAACAGGAAAACCAAGAAAAACAAUAAAAUGCACCUUGGGCCUUUUUUUAUAGAUUUUAAAAAAUGGGUUUUUUUUUCUGAAAUGUAACGCUUUCUUUCUCCUCUGUGUUUAGCUAUUUCCACUAGCCUUGGACCACCAUUUAUAACGUCAUAAGUGUUAUAUUUCACUUUAGUUUAUUUUUAUAUAUACCGAGCCAGCCGAAGUAAUAACUUCUUUUGUAUGUUUAGAAAAUCCUCAGAGACUUGAGAGCAGCGUCCACUGUUUAACAGAAACACUCUUUCACAGAGAACAGUGAUCCAUCGAUGCUUUAAAGAAAAAAAAACAAUAUUUCAAUCACUCUGCGGUAACGAUCUGUGGAAAAUGAAGAGUCAACACCGCAAUUUGCUUUGGCUAUGUACUCCAUCUCUGUAUUUUUAAUUUUAUUUUUCAUUUGUAUUGUACAAAGUCACUUAAUAAACCUGUGAUGAUA